rnacentral:lncRNA from 1 species
GGAGAAGAGCCAUGCAAGAAGAGAUGCAAUCCUUGCAUGAGAAUAACACCUAUGAAUUGGUGGAGUGGAGAAUAGCCAUGCAAGAAGAGAUGAAAUCCUUGCAUGAGAAUAACACUUAUGAAUUGGUGGUGGAGAAGAGCCAUGCAAGAAGAUAUGCAAUUCUUGCAUGAGAAUAACACCUAUGAAUUGGUGGAGUGGAGAAGAGCCAUGCAAGAAGAGAAGCAAUCCUUGCAUGAUGACCAAAGCACAUUGACAUAAGGUAUCCAAGGUGCCGGUUUGCUACUACCCCC